GUGGUGUGCCGAGUGGUUAUCGGGCAUGACUAGAAAUCAUGUGGGCUUUGCCCGCGCAGGUUCGAAUCCUGCCACUCACG
rfam:Ipomoea nil DNA, scaffold: scaffold2283, cultivar: Tokyo-kokei standard.